rnacentral:lncRNA from 1 species
UCAAUCAAAUUGAGUUAAUUAGCGAUCAAAUCACUAAUUAAACCUCUCAUAAAUAUUGAGUCUAAAUUCGAUGGGCAAUCAGAUAUCAGAGUCCAUCGAUAUGAAACCCUGAUCAAAAAAAAAAUCCCAAACCAGUGGGACUCCUGACCCCGAUACCCAAAAUAUAUGGUACUCAUGAUCAAAGAAUCCUGAUUCUCGAUCACAGAGUCUCAGACAUGUAAGACUCAUAGUCUACGAGCAUUAGGAUACUUCAUCAACCAUC